UUGAGGCGAGUUGAAGACUUUA
rnacentral:miRNA from 1 species